AUUGGUGUGUGAAAGAUAUAUGGGUCCCAAAUUAUGUGGCAAGAAAUAGAACUGUUGGAAUUGAAAGGCUGGCUGUCUGCCUAUUUGCCUCCUCUGCCGACGAAAACAGAACCAAGAAUAUCGUGAAAUUAGUGGUUAAUACCCAAACAUCAAGGCUCCUCUAUGUUUUGAUAUCCAUACGUAGUCCCAAACCCCAAGGAUCCUAGCAGUAGCACUUUCCAUAGACACUUUCACGAUCUGUGAAGCAUUGUAUAGUUCGUGGAAAGGCACCCGUAGUCGACUUUUUCCAGAUUUAAUGAGGGGUUUUUAGGUCUUUUUCCACCUUCUUCAAAUUUAACCCUAUAUAUUUUGGGACCACAAUCAGCCCUUUAUCAGUACCCAAUAGGUUUUUUUUUCUCUCAUUAACACUUAGAACUUUUGAGAGCAAGGAUCGAAGAGAAGGAGAAGAUAGGGUUCAAGGUUUUCAAGCCAAGUCUUCAAGUUUUGCUCAGAUAACCAUCGUUCUAGACACAUGUGUUAGAGAUCAUCAACAGACGCAUCAUUGAGGAUUUAUCUUCCAUAACCUUUGGUGAUACCUCUUUGCAUUAAGAGGAGCUCCUUCACUUUUAGUUUUUCUUUUAUUAUGCUAGUCUUGAGAGGUUGCCGUGGGCUUAUCUCGAUACCAUAUUAGUAGUUAGUAGAGGCUUCAUAGACUAAGUAGAGUGGAGUCCUUUAUCUUUUAGAGUAUGUUUUAAAAAUACGACUUUCAUUAUUGAAUUAUGAUAUUGACUUAUAUUUCGA